UUAGAGUUUGAUCAUGGCUCACAACGUACGCUGGCGGCACGCCUUAUACAUGCAAGUCGAACGAAGUAGUAAUACUUAGUGGCAGACGGGUGAGUAACAUGUAGGUAUCUUCCCUUUGGUGAGGAAUAACACGAGGAAACUUGUGCUAAUACCUCAUAAGUCUUUACGGAGAAAGCUUUAUGCGCCAAUGGAUGAGCCUGCACUUGAUUAGUUUGUUGGUGGGGUAAUGGCCUACCAAGACAAUGAUCAAUAGCUGAUUUGAGAGGAUGAUCAGCCACAUUGGGACUGAGACACGGCCCAAACUCCUACGGGAGGCAGCAGUAGGGAAUCUUGCACAAUGGGGGAAACCCUGAUGCAGCGAUGCCGCGUGAGUGAAGAAGGCCUUUGGGUUGUAAAGCUCUUUCGUCGGGGAAGAAAAUGACUGUACCCGAAUAAGAAGGUCCGGCUAACUUCGUGCCAGCAGCCGCGGUAAUACGAAGGGACCUAGCGUAGUUCGGAAUUACUGGGCUUAAAGAGUUCGUAGGUGGUUAAAAAAGUUGGUGGUGAAAUCCCAGAGCUUAACUCUGGAACUGCCAUCAAAACUUUUUAGCUAGAGUAUGAUAGAGGAAAGCAGAAUUUCUAGUGUAGAGGUGAAAUUCGUAGAUAUUAGAAAGAAUACCAAUUGCGAAGGCAGCUUUCUGGAUCAUUACUGACACUGAGGAACGAAAGCAUGGGUAGCGAAGAGGAUUAGAUACCCUCGUAGUCCAUGCCGUAAACGAUGUGUGUUAGACGUUGGAAAUUUAUUUUCAGUGUCGCAGCGAAAGCAAUAAACACACCGCCUGGGGAGUACGACCGCAAGGUUAAAACUCAAAUGAAUUGACGGGGACCCGCACAAGUAGUGGAGCAUGUGGUUUAAUUCGAAGAUACGCGCAGAACCUUACCAACACUUGACAUGUUCGUCGCGACUUUAAGAGAUUAAAGUUUUCGGUUCGGCCGGACGAAACACAGGUGCUGCAUGGCUGUCGUCAGCUCGUGUCGUGAGAUGUUGGGUUAAGUCCCGCAACGAGCGCAACCCUCACUUUUAGUUGCCAUCAUUUAGUUGGGCACUCUGAAAGAACUGCCAGUGAUAAGCUGGAGGAAGGUGGGGAUGACGUCAAGUCCUCAUGGCCCUUACGUGUUGGGCUACACACGUGCUACAAUGGCAUUUACAAUAGGAAGCAAGACGGCGACGUUAAGCAAAUCCUAAAAAAAUGCCUCAGUUCGGAUUGUACUCUGCAACUCGAGUACAUGAAGCUGGAAUUACUAGUAAUCGCGGAUCAGCGCGCCGCGGUGAAUACGUUCCCG
rnacentral:rRNA from 1 species